rnacentral:rRNA from 1 species
GCCAGACUCCUACGGGAGGCAGCAGUGAGGAAUAUUGGUCAAUGGGCGGAAGCCUGAACCAGCCAAGUCGCGUGAGGGAUGACGGCCCUAUGGGUUGUAAACCUCUUUUGCCGGGGAGCAAAGUGCCGCACGUGUGCGGUUUGGAGAGUACCCGGAGAAGAAGCAUCGGCUAACUCCGUGCCAGCAGCCGCGGUAAUACGUAGGGGGCAAGCGUUAUCCGGAUUUACUGGGUGUAAAGGGAGCGUAGACGGUUAUGCAAGUCUGGAGUGAAAGGCGGGGGCUCAACCCCCGGACUGCUCUGGAAACUGUAGAACUAGAGUGCAGGAGGGGUAAGUGGAAUUCCUAGUGUAGCGGUGAAAUGCGUAGAUAUUAGGAGGAACACCAGUGGCGAAGGCGGCUUACUGGACUGUAACUGACGUUGAGGCUCGAAAGCGUGGGGAGCAAACAGGAUUAGAUACCCUAGUAA